UGUCUCCUCCUGGGAGAAGAGGGACCAGGCUGUUGGUCAACGAUGAUCAGAGGGAAAAGAACAAGAGUAUCUGCAGAUCGGCUGAGAAGGAUUCCAGAAGUGAGGCGUGUCUCAGUCACUCACAUCAGAUGUACUCGACGUCCCUGGCUAACAGGGAGCGCUCCAGGAGAAACUGGCACGCUCAAGACCAGUUCUGGGAUGCUUCCCAUGAAGCAAUUUAACGGAUGUCCAACUGGAAGAAUCCUGCAGAUUCUUGGGCCAAGGAGUGACUCUCUGGUCAUUUGCAGGGAGAAGUGUCUCUCUUUUAGUGGCCAAUUCAAGCCCCUGCUAUUAGCAUUUGAAUCAGGCAGCCUUGCUGUUUUGACUGAAAAGAGAAACCCAGGCUUUGUUGUUGCAAUUUAGGGGCGUGAGUAAUUUUCUACCCUCCUUUAAUCAAGUCAAAUAGAUGGGGAAAUGGCAAUAUAUGGGGAAAGUGUGGUCUGGCCUCGGAAAUGCAAACGCGGCCCCCAUCCUGAAGCUGCCCCCUGUCAGUUCCUGGCCCCACGUGUGACAGCUCAGCUCCAGAUCAGCGGGUUUCCUUGGCCAGCUGUCCUGUCCAUUGGAAUUUGGCUGAAUGUCUUCAAAAUAUUCUCUUUGUUUGGAUUAAACCAACCCAGAUAAUGGUGGAAAUGCAGCAGGACAUGAUUGAUGCGUGGAUGGUCAAGGUCUCCUCUUGCGUCCUCUGGUCCAUUUCCCACGCACAAGGGAGAAGGGUGGAAAGGUCCCUGCAGGGUCCAAUGGUGACACCAGCACUCUCCUGAAGUUAAGGCUCCCAGGAGCACUUUGUAACAUUUAAUUUGUAUGCCUAGGAGACACCCUGUUUGCUUCUGUAGCUAAU